UACAGAGGGGGCGAGCGUUAUUCGGAAUCACUGGGCGUAAAGCGCACGUAGGCGGAUUGUUAAGUCGGGGGUGAAAUCCUGGAGCUCAACUCCAGAACUGCCUUCGAUACUGGCGAUCUUGAGUCCGGGAGAGGUGAGUGGAACUCCGAGUGUAGAGGUGAAAUUCGUAGAUAUUCGGAAGAACACCAGUGGCGAAGGCGGCUCACUGGUCCGGUACUGACGCUGAGGUGCGAAAGCGUGGGGAGCAACAGG
rnacentral:rRNA from 1 species